AUGAUUUGAUGCAUGACCUUGCAAUGUCGGUUACCGGAGAGGAGUGUAUUUCAUCAAAUGAGAAAACUCGCCAUAUAUCAUUUAAACUUGAUUGGCUCUCACAUGCGAAAGUAAUUUCACCUUCCAUGCUUAAGGCAAACAAGGUACGGACAUUCCUUUUGCUCCGUUCAAGUACGUAUUGGGACUAUGAGGAAGAAACGCCUCAAAUCAAAGAACUAUGCAACGCAAUGUCUGCAAUGAGCUGUUUAAGGGUGUUAGAUCUACACCAAUUACGAAUUAUGUCUGUUCCACGUUCAGUUGAGAAAUUGAAGCAUCUAAGGUAUCUUGAUCUUUCUUCGAAUGCACAUAUCAAAACACUUCCUCAUUCAAUCACCAAACUACAAAACUUACAAGUGCUGAAACUGGAAUACUGUUACGGGCUUAUACAUUUACCAAAAGACAUGAGAAGGUUGGUCAAUCUCAGGUUUCUUGACCUCAAAUUUUGUUUUCGGUUGACUCAUAUGCCACGUGGGAUU
rnacentral:misc_RNA from 1 species